CAUGCUUGCCAUUGCCGAACUGAGGUACCUGCCCAUCCCUCCCGGGGACCCUGCACGAGAUCUCGAGGCACUGCUCCAAAUACCCAAGUGUGACUGGCUCCUCUCUCUUUGCAGCGCAGUGGAGAGGGCGCUGGAGGGCAAGGAGGCAAGCCUCCUCCAAGCCUGCUUCUCUAGUGUCUUCUUGCUUCCUCCAGAAGAGAAAAUGCAGGAUAUGGGCCGUUAUCUCUUCUUAAAAACCAUGGAAGCCAUGGACAACAUGCUGCAGGCAUUGGUGCUCGGCUCUUCAGCCUCCAGAGUCAGCGAGCUGCUCCAGAAUAUCUUCCAGAUGCUCUUGACCUUCACCACCUCUGAGAGAGAAUGUGUGCAGGAGAGGGCUGUGGGGAGGAUUGAGAAGAUGAGCUCUGCGCUAUUCAGACAUCCCACACUGGCGGUAAGGAGCCAGGCACCCUCCAGCCAGGCCGUCUCCCCAUCCCUGCACCCCAGAGCAGCCUGCAGCUGCCCCAUGCGGGGCUGCUGCCCAGGCAGCUGCUUUGGGAGCUGUGGCCGGCACGGGCCUGCAAAGCCCUGACUACCCACAGAGCCAGCCCUGGACACACGCUUGGGUUCCGGGCUUUGGCACCAGUGUCCCAGCAGCAGCCCCAGUCCUCCUGGCCACCAGCAAGCCCUGGUUCACGGCAGGGCCAGCACCCUGUGCCCAUGAGUCCGACCCUCCUCCCUCACUCCAGGGCCUCUGUUCUCAUCCUCCCCGUGCAGUCACUGCCGCCCCUGC